UGCUAGGUGUGGCGGAGGCCGUGGGCGGAGGUUGCCGAGGUCGCGGUACGGGUCCAGUACGAGCGGAGGUUGCCGAUCUUGCAGAUUGUUGAACCGACGGGUGCGGAGGAGCUACCUGGAGCAGUGGAACACCAGCGUCCAGCUCGACCUCAUGCUCACUCGAUGACAUCGUCCCGCCGCACGCCACCGAGAACCAGACGAUGUUCGUUUGUUAUCUUCUACUAGCUCUGCGGAUGCUUCCAAGACAUUUGCCUUGCGUAUAUGCUGGAGUAUAAAGCCAAGAUAUCAUGGAGUAUCAUGGAAUCCAACAGUA